rnacentral:rRNA from 1 species
CUACGGGAGGCAGCAGUGGGGAAUAUUGCACAUGGAGGAAACUCUGAUGCAGCAACGCCGCGUGGAGGAUGACACUUUUCGGAGCGUAACUCCUUUAUUAGGAAGAUAAUGACGGUACUUAGAAUAAGCACCGGCUAAUCCGUGCCAGCAGCCGCGGUAAU